rnacentral:lncRNA from 1 species
GUUUAUUAACCAACACCAGAGGGUGUGUCAUGAUGUAUGUACAACUUCCUAGGUCAAAGGUCAAGGUCAAAAACUUUGGUUUCAGUUGACAACCCCAUGUCCUGUGGUGAAGAUCGUGUCUGCUCCAUAUCUAGAUAACCGUUAUGAUUUCAAAGUUUAUACUUGACAUCCAUUUUAACCACCACCAGAGGAUGUUAUUGACAGCGGGGCCC